rnacentral:rRNA from 1 species
GAUGAACGCUAGCUACAGGCUUAACACAUGCAAGUCGAGGGGCAGCAUGACGAUAGCUUGCUAUUGUCGAUGGCGACCGGCGCACGGGUGAGUAACGCGUAUCCAACCUGCCCACCACUUGGGGAUAACCUUGCGAAAGUAAGGCUAAUACCCAAUGAUAUCCCACGAAGGCAUCGGAAUGGGAUUAAAGAUUUAUCGGUGAUGGAUGGGGAUGCGUCUGAUUAGCUUGUUGGCGGGGUAACGGCCCACCAAGGCGACGAUCAGUAGGGGUUCUGAGAGGAAGGUCCCCCACAUUGGAACUGAGACACGGUCCAAACUCCUACGGGAGGCAGCAGUGAGGAAUAUUGGUCAAUGGGCGAGAGCCUGAACCAGCCAAGUAGCGUGCAGGACGACGGCCCUAUGGGUUGUAAACUGCUUUUAUAAGGGAAUAAAGUGAGUCUCGUGAGACUUUUUGCAUGUACCUAUGAAUAAGGACCGGCUAAUUCCGUGCCAGCAGCC